CGAUACGAGUUUGAUCAUGGCUCAGAUUGAACGCUGGCGGUAUGCUUAACACAUGCAAGUCGAACGGUAACAGGCCUUCGGGCGCUGACGAGUGGCGGACGGGUGCGUAACGCGUAGGAAUCUGCCGAUUAGUGGGGGACAACGUGGGGAAACUCACGCUAAUACCGCAUACGCCCUACGGGGGAAAGGAGGGGAUCUUCGGACCUUUCGCUAAUCGAUGAGCCUGCGUGGGAUUAGCUAGUUGGUAGGGUAAAGGCCUACCAAGGCGACGAUCCCUAGCUGGUCUGAGAGGACGAUCAGCCACACUGGGACUGAGACACGGCCCAGACUCCUACGGGAGGCAGCAGUGGGGAAUAUUGGACAAUGGGCGAAAGCCUGAUCCAGCAAUACCGCGUGUGUGAAGAAGGCCUGAGGGUUGUAAAGCACUUUUAAUCGGGAGGAACAUCUACGGGCCAAUACCCCGUAGUCUGACAUUACCGAUAGAAAAAGCACCGGCUAACUCCGUG
rnacentral:rRNA from 1 species